AAUGAGAGUGAUGACCUUAUCCAAAAGACCUCGCAGAACUCCAUUAACUCUUUUUUGGCAGUGAGGACACUGAAAAGACUAGGAGCCAGGAAGCGGGCCCUUACCAAACACCUGAUCUGCUGAUGCCUUCAUCCUGGAUUCCCAAGCCUCCGGAACGGAGAAUCCGCAGUAAUGAGAGGUCACGUAUCUGGGCCCACAGUGUGCUGGCAGCUCGUCCUUCUAUACAGGCUCUCUCCCGUUCUUUGCUUCCACACACAGAAGUGUCUCCGCAUAUAACCCCAGGAAGUUUGGGGGCUCAGAUAUUCCCCAGAGCUGCCUUUUAAGGCAGUGGGGUUACAGCACAGAGGCUGGAUUCCAACAGCACGAGCACUUGAGAAGAUGUAUGUUACAAUUGCUGUUUAGCAUCUUUGUGCAUGAAUUAAUCUCACUAUCAGAAAAUGGGAAUUUAGGUAGCACUCACUGGAGGAGGUCAAAACUUUGAGCAACAGAAUUGUUUUACAUUUAAAAGCUUCUGAACAAGUCACACACUACCUGUAGUCUAUAAUCACAGCCACUCAGGGGAGCUCAUGGGAGUCAACACACUUCGAGAUCAAAUCCCCGUGCCCCUGGUGAUCCCAGAGUGGCUCUUUCUCCAAGGCAUCAGCAUGAUGUGGAGAACCCUGGACUCUCAGCUGGAGGUUGGGAUAUUGGGGUUCAGAAUUCUGGCUCUGCCGCUCAUCUGCCAGGUGACUCCCUGACGGCUGCUGCUUCCUUGUGCAUAGAAGGAGGGCAGGUGGGCCAGCCACAGAAUUGCUCCCCCUUCCAACAUUCUAGGAGAAUGAGCUAGCCUGGCAGGUCAUUCAGAAAUCUGGAAACAAUGUCAUGACUGUUCCAAUUAGUAUAUCCUUAGGGCACCUGUGUGGCUCAGUUGGGAAAGAGUCUGACUUCGGCUCGGGUCAUGGUCUCACGGUUCGUGGGUUCGAGCCCCGCAUCGGGCUCUGUGUGGACAGCUCAGAGCCGAGAGCCUGCUUCGGAUUCUGUAUCUCCCUUUCUCUGCCCCUCCCUGGCUCUCUCCUUCUCUCAAAACUAAACAGAAUAAAAAAAUUAGUAUGUCCUCGGUAACUCUGAGCAGGGGUCACAGACAUCAGGCCCUGGGUAGUGACGUCCCAGGGCUAUGGAAUUCCACUCAGCCGCAAAGUCCCCAGAGCCAUUCAGCAGUCACUCGUUUUGAAUGUGAAAUUCUUUCAUGGGUAACUUUAUUAUGUUGGUAGAUUAUCACUUUUAUUAAACUAAUGCUCUUUUAGAUCUA